UACAGAGGUCUCAAGCGUUGUUCGGAUUCAUUGGGCGUAAAGAGCUCGUAGGCGGCUCAGUCAGUCGGGUGUGAAACCCUCAGGCUCAACCUGGGGACGCCACUCGAUACUGCUGUGGCUAGAGUCCAGUAGGGGAGUGUGGAAUUCCCGGUGUAGCGGUGAAAUGCGCAGAUAUCGGGAGGAACACCAGCGGCGAAGGCGGCACUCUGGGCUGGUACUGACGCUGAGGAGCGAAAGCGUGGGUAGCAAACAGG
rnacentral:rRNA from 1 species